UUUCUCUCCCCAAUUCAGGCCACACCCUCCAGCCCCUGACCCGAGGUGUCUAGCCACCAGGUCCGCACUUUCCUGCCUUCUCCUUGGGGACACCACCCUGAAGACAGGAUGUCACUGCUGGAAGCAUUCGCCUUCUCGUCCUUCUGGGCACUUGGACUUGGAUUAUCGAAAGUGGAGCAGUUCCAGCUAUCCAUUUCCACGGAAGUCAAGAAAAGUAUUGACAUAUCUUGCAAGAUAAGGAGCACAAACUUUGAAAACGAUGUCAUUCACUGGUACCGGCAGAAACCGAAUCAGGCUUUGGAGCAUCUGAUCUAUAUUAUCUCAACAAAAUCCGCAGCUCAUGGCAGCAUGGGUAAGAGGAGUAACAAAGUGGAAGCGAGAAAGAAUUCUCAAACCCUCACUUCAAUCCUUACCAUCAAGUCCAUAGAGAAAGAAGACAUGGCCAUUUACUACUGUGCAGGAUGGGAUUACACUGUACUAGAACUGUAGAGACAACAUGCACAAAAUCCCCUCCCAGGGUCUGUGCCCACCACAUCCUUCCCAACAGGGGCAACCACAGCCAGUCCCCAGCUGGGCUCCCAGACUCAGGCUCGCCUUCUCUGAGGCUCUUCCAGGGCUUUCCAGGAAGCUGUUAUGGGUUGUGCUUACACUUUCAUUCCCACCUGAUCCCAGGACUCGUGCUCCAGAAUCUUUAUUUGACACUGUUUCUUAAUGAGUUAAAGGCUUGUCUGGGGACUGAGAGAACAUAGGUCGGGCCACUGUCCAUCAUAUCACCACCUAGAGACUUCUAGUAAGUAGCAAGGUGCAGUUGAGAGAGGGAUCCUUAUUAUGUACAGUCAAGACAACCCCCCUGCAAUAUAACUAUCACUGGUGCCAUUUACAAUGAAAGAAAUGAAAGCUUACAGAAUUGGGGUUGCAUGAUCUGCCAGACGAGUCAUGUCUUUGAGCUGGUCUGUGAGACCACACCGAACAGUUUAAGGGUUGUAAUUCUCUAAGUAAAUGCUAGGAUAUCUGAGAUAAAUUCCGGAGGGAGUAAGCGCCUUUUUUUCUGCGAGGGGUAGAGAGGAGAAUUUGCCAGCAUGAGAUCGUCAGACUAGAGCUCCAAGUCACCCCGAGUAUCGUUGGAUGAGACCCUCCAUGUUGGAAUAACCCUUCAUCUUACCUGUAAAGGAAGAGAGAAUUGUAUCGUGUGUGUGUGUGUGUGUGUGUGUGUGUGUGUGUAAGUUCUCUACAGUGUUCUCAAUUCUUUGUAUGUAUUAGCUCCUUUAACCCACACUACCUAUAACGUCUGCUCUGUUGUUCUUAUCAAACAUAUCUAACUCCUGAAAUAAGUGGAGUAUUAGUUCAUGCACUUGUCCAAAUCACAGAGCUGAUAAGUGGCAAGACAGCCCAGGGAGGGACCCAGGUAAUCUGGUUCCUCUUGAAUAUGACAUUAACUGCUUCUUAAUCACAGGGGUAUAAAAGAAAAGACACGUUGUUUCUAUCCCUAUGGAGGAGACAGAACUGACCAUCAUGAAACAUUAACUGACACAAAUUACUACUGUGUGCUGAAGCACGUGCCCAGGGUUCCAGUGAUUAGGUGUAUUCAGAGAAUAAAAUGCAGAUAAAGUACCAAU